rnacentral:lncRNA from 1 species
AUGACGGUGUUACUGAUGAUGAUGAUGAUGAUGAUGAUGAUGAUGAUGAUUAUAACGAUAAUAAUGAUGAUGAGGACGACGAGACAACGGUCACCACUGCAGCUGAACCUUAAGAGGAAUUAAGGGAACAUUUUCUGUUACGCUUUAUAUGAGGGUACAAGAAACACAUUGGUUGCUAUGCUAAACUAUUUCAGAGAACCGUAUUCCGAGAAUACUCUCACAUAAUUUUCUCAAGAGUCCAUUGUGAUCCAAGUCUAUUUGUGUUUUAUAUCGAGUUAUUAGAUAUAACAAAAUUAGUUGAUGAAUAUAAAUUGUUUAUUCGGACAUGAGUAAUUAAUUUACUUUCAAUAUAUAAAAGAUUUCCAGUGAAGUUAUUAUUGCAGGAAAUCUUUUCAUAGAAUGUGCAAUAAUGUAAAAUUUUGUAAACUAUGAGAAUUCAAUAAAAACUGAUAAAUUUAAUAAUAAGUUAAAACUGUUGCUGUUCCCAUGAGAUUUAUAAGAAAGAAUUUAAAAUCUGUUGGCAAUGAGUUCUCAUAUUAUUUAUUACAAUAUUUUGUCAGGCAAAGUUUUGAUUUUCGGUAGACGGCGGUGAAGUGAAAGAAAGGAGACGAAAGACGCGACGCAAGACGGGCGGGCUUUUUUUCAUUUCGGGCGAGACGAUGUCAAGGAACCUAGUCCCAGUCUCGGAGAGCGAAACGGGGGCUUUCGGACAAAACUGCAACGAACCGCAGAGUCAAGAGAGAUGACCGUGAAGAGCGCGUUUCGUACAUGUACAUGUAUCGUUUCUCCUUGUCUCUUUCCCCUUCACUCUUCUCUCGAGUCGCGUAAAUUUCGUUGUGCGGUGAAUCGUGGGCGCGCGCAUCGUACGAACGCGAGCGCUCUGUGACCUCGGCGUGUCUCGGUGCGUUUCGCGCCUCGCCGAGAGGCAAGGGAGACGGUCGGGCGGUCUCGCACGCUGGCGGAACCGACCGACGAGGAUACGGCCCUGCGUGCCAACCGUAAGCCACCCGUCUGGUCGGGAGCACACGCACCCGCGUCCUUCUGACGGCGCGGCGCGGACCGACGGUGCGCGAGCGAGAGCGAGAAUGCGUCGGCUGGUUGGCUCGCUCUCGCUCUGCAGAAACCUGUUCGGCUCGGAACUUUUCUACUUUCUUGGCGAUUAUUUUUAUCUGCUGAGAAUCGCACGCACGCACGCAGGCAGGCUGGCCGGCCGGCUGGCUGGCCGGCCGGCCGGGUGCCGCGCGCGCCAUGCCACGUUGCGCCGCAUCCGCGUCGCGUCGACUCUGCCGGAAGCGGGCCGUCCUGGAAACUAUCAACGGCCGGACGAACGGAUGACCGGCCGACCGCGCUCUCGCCGCAAAAAUUCAAUUCUCGAGCACCAUCGUUGCACGCUGUACUGCGCGCCUUCCUUUCCCCGUUUAUCUUUCUCUCUCUUUCUCUCGUCUCUUUUCUCUGGUCGCUUUCGCGCGCGCUCCUUCUCUCAACCCUCUCACGUCGUCUUUGUCUCGCCGUUUCCUCUCCGCGUCCGUCUCUGUCUUUCUCCCAUUCUCCGUCUCGAUUCCUCGCGCGCCUCCCGGCCGCGCACCGUUCGACCGUCUGCGCCGUUCAGACAAUGCACUUUUUGCACGGCCCUCUCGCCAUUGUCGUGGGAGGUUGAAAUUUAAGCGACGCGCCGGCGAUUCUUCGCGAUUCGCAUUUUCGGCAGCUCGCGCCCGCACGACGACCACGACAAAGUUACGAGCGCGACAGCGAGUUAUUUGCGCGCAUUUACAUAUUCGCACGUGCGUCUCGCGGUACGUGAGCGCGUUGCAUUUGGCACUCCGGCACCGACGGGCAAGUCGUGCAACGCGAAAUGCGCGUGCUCACUUUGAUGUAUAUUUUAUUAAUAUAAUACAGAAUUAAUAAUGUGUGAUUACGACAAAAAUAUUUAGUCCUUUGCUUAUGUCAAUUUCGAAAGCUUAUAUCAGUGCUAAUGAAUUAAUUGCCAAAAUUAAUUAUUAUAAAAAAAUGGCGCACGCAUGAUAGAGUUUCUCGUUGUAGCAUGUCUUGAGAAUUAUCGUAUUGUAUUAAUAUUAUCAUGGAUUUAGCUCGCGCGCCCGAAAAGCAAAACAUCGAAUUUUUUUUUGGUUCCCCUUCGGACAAACAGGUUUCGUCUGUCUCAAACAUUUGGCGAGUUUGAAGUCACGCAGUUUGUACCUCUUUGUUUUUCCCCAAUGUAAACUUGUAGUACUGUAAACGAAAAUAAAGGUAAUGUUAAAUUUAAUUCCGAAUGUUGUCAGAGAGAAAGCCAGUUUUUAAAUAUAUACGCCCUAAAUUUAGCAUGUUUCUCGUCAAUUAAUUAAUGUGAUUGGUUAAAUAACAUUUAUACAUGAAGCGUUGGACUUUAGGAUCAAAUAUACAUUCUGUGGUAUAAUUUUUCAUCGAUUUUUUAGUAAAUUAUUAUAAAUUAUUAUUAUAUUAAAUAUCGCUAUUUCUGUAACAUUAACAGUUUUAUCGUAGAAAUAAUCUUUAUAAAUACGCGCAUAAAAAUGAUGUCUAUACUUUUAUUUGCAGUUAACUUUACAUAUUUUUAUAUAUUCCAUACCAAGAAUUUUAUUCAACAAUUUUACUUAUAUUUCAAGUAUUCGCUAUCGAUUGAUCAUUAUGCCUCGAAUUUCCGCUGUACGACGAUUCAAAAUGAUGGCCGCACAGAAGAAAAGAAGGAGAAAAACGCGCGCAAAAUUUUGCCCGAUACAAAUUCUGUUGUUCCAAGAAGAGUACGCGUAACUUCCGGUUGCGAAACUAUUGGUUACGGUUACCCGGAAACCGAAUAAUUCCAGUUAUUCUAACCAUACGGAAAAAAUGAAUACUCAUUUUACCCCGCGACACGCAUGGUAUCGCACCGAAUCGUGAUUCGCUGUCCCACGCUGUAUACUUCAAACAAAACGCAGUUUUGAUGCGCGCGGUGUACGAUACCACACAUUGCGUUCAAACGAUGCGAAAUAUUGCGUAACAAUUAUUGUAAUACAUCCUCGAGUCUCGAUCGAUACGAUUGGAGAAAAUUUCACAAACUAAAUCAAUACUACGCGAUGAUUAAUGAAAUACCGAGAUCUUUUGCAGGCCAAUUAAGAAAUACACACGCGCGCGCGCGCAUACACGCACCUCGAGCCAUGUGCGACGCAUCGAGCGAACUCGCGGCCGGCGCGGCAGCUGAGAGAGAACGAGGAGGAUUUUUUCCGACGACAAUACUUAAUGACCGCGCCGCGCAGGUUCGGUUUGUUUCCCACGUUAAUAUCGGCGAUCCGCACGACGAGCAAGCAGUGCAGACAGCAAGGAAGAUUUUUCUCAGGAGGGGCCCGCCCUCCGCCUCUCCGCGAGCGGACCGGCAUAAACAGCGUAGCAUUAACGUGGGGCCCCAACAGACCCCCAGCGAGUCGCACUGUCUUCCCGUCGCUCUCCUUCGCGAAACUCGUUUCUGCCGCUGAGAGAAAUUCUCCCUUUUUCGCGGAUAAAUAGGGGUAAACCUGUAUUGCAGGACAAUAAUACCACCGCCCGGCGGAACAGCCGCGCGUAACCCGGACGAAGGGAGGAGGGAGCGAGAGAGAAGUAGAGAGUGGCAAGGGGAUACCACGGGGUACCGCGGUCCCUUCGGGGGGUCGUUGGACCAGGGCGCUAGGUGGAUUAUCAUAAUAAAGGCCGCCUAAAUGUUAUCUCGUAUUAAGUCAUACUUUUGUUUUCCUCUUACGCUCUGGGAACUACGUACUCUUACGCACGUAGUAAAGGGAAGUGCGCGCGCGAGAUUCUUUAUUUUUGCGCGACGCACCCGGUAGAACCCGAGAACCCGGGCGUAUACUCUCCCGGGGUCGGACGAGUCGAAUUGCACGACGUCGUGGAUACAAACGCGGGAGAUCCUCCGGGAAUCGAGACUCUGAGAGGUCUUCGUUCACCGGAUGACCUUGGAUCCAGACCGAAAGAAGUUUCCGAAACUUGGAAGAACUCGUUUUAGGUUAGCCGGAAGGUUAGCGCGGGAAUUUCGAAGGCACAUCGGAAAUUUCUUCGGCGUUGAUGCGCAGCCUGUCGACGUUUCGUUAGAAUGCGAGACACAAAAAGAAUUUUAAUUUUAAUUUUAAUUUAAUUUUAAUUUAUUCAAUGAACGGGAAGAUCAUAAGCAGGAUAACAAUGAACGUAAAUAAUCAAAUAAGCAACACAAUAAUCCAAAUCGCAAACUCCAGAACAGAAAAGUUCAAAAUCGAGUGAAAGCAGGAUAAAGAAAAAAGGAAUUAUGCCAACCAAAUAUCCUGAUUAAAGUCGUUAAAAAAGACAAAUAAAUUCCAUUGCACACAAAGAAUAAAAAUACAGCCUAAUAAAAUUAAUUAAACGCAUGUAACUUAAACUUAAUAAACGCAUAUAAAGACAACUAAAUUCAAUUGCACACAAAGAAUAAAAAUACAGCCUAAUAAAAUUAAUUAAACGCAUGUAACUUAAACUUAAUAAACGCAUAUAAAGACAACUAAAUUCAAUUGCACACAAAGAAUAAAGAUACAGCCUAAUAAAAUUAAUUAAACGCAUGUAACUUAAACUUAAUAAACGCAUAUAGCAAGUAAAAAAGUCCAAGAACGCAAUACAACAUUAAGGCAAGACAGAUGCAAAUACGAACGCAACGUAUGCAAAA